ACUUAAACAUUUAUUUCUAAUAAAACUAAUUAUUUAAUUAAAUUUAAUUUUUUUUUACCUUUUUCUGUAAAGAAAUUUAAAAUUUAAAAAAAGAAAUUUUAUGUUCCUUUUGUAUCAGGACCAAUUAAUUUUAAAUAAAAAUAUUAAACUCCUGAAAUAAAGAGAUCUAAAAUAUUAAUUUUUAAUAUUUCAAUAUUAUAUAAAUUUUAUUUUAGAAACUAAACAUUAUUCGAACUUUAUGAUAUCCGGUAUCUUAAAAAUUAAAAAAUUAAAUUUUAAAUAUUAAAGUAUAAACUUUGAUAUUUAAUUAUCAUAAAUUUAAAUUAAAUUAGGAAUAAAAUUACCCAAAAAAUUUAAUAAUUACAUAUAGUAUAAAAAAAUUUUUCAUAUUAAGAAAUCAACUAUUAUAAAUUAUUAUAAUUUGAUAAGUAUAAAUUUAAUUUAAAUUCAAGAACUCUGCAUAAUGAUAAAUGACUGUUUAACAAAAACAUUUCUUAAAGAUUCAUUUUAAGUAUUUUCUGCUCAAUGUAAAAAUAAAUAGCCGCAGAAUUUAACUGUGCUAAGGUAGCAUAAUCAUUAGUUUUUUAAUUAAAAACUAGAAUGAAAGAAUUAACAAUUUAACAACUUUUUUAAUUUAAAUUAUAUAAAUUUUACUAAAUAUAAAAAUAUAUUUAUAAAUAAGAAAGACGACAAGACCCUAUCAAACUUCACUUUAGUUUAGCUGGGGCAGCUAAUUAAAAAUAAUUUUAAUUUUAAUACUUUUAUAAAAGAUCCAAUAUAAUUGAUUUAGUGAACAAGUUACUGUAGGGAUAACAGCGUUAUAUUUUUUUGAAGUUCUUAUUUUUAAAAAAGAUUGCGACCUCGAUGUUGAAUUAUUUAACUUUGAAACGCAAAAUUUUCAUAAGUAGGCCUGUUCGGCCUUUAAAUUUUUACAUGAUUUGAGUUAAAAUCGGUGUAAACCAGAUUGGAUUCUAUCUUCUUAACAUUUUUCCUAGUACGAAAGGACCUGAAAAAAUAUUUUAUAAU
rnacentral:rRNA from 1 species